CUCGGAGCCGCCAUGACCUCCAAACACUCGGAAAAGAAGCAGGUGCCGCAGAAGAACUCCGCGCACGGUUAUGACCGAUCCGAAAAACUGUACCCUGUUGGUAGUCAUGUACAAUCCAGUUCUGGUGAGCAGAAGAAGGGGAAAUUCCAAAUCUGGCCAGAAUGGAGUGAAUCUGACAUAAAUGCAGAAAAGUGGGAUGCAGGCAAAGGAGGGAAAGAAAAGGGCAAAGCAGGGAAAAGCCCUGUACUUCAUUUUUUUGAAGAUCCUGAAGGAAGGAUUGAAUUGCCGCCAUCAUUGAAAAUUUAUUCCUGGAAACAUCCACAAGAUUUUGUGAUGAAUCGGACUCCAGUAGUAGUGAAAGAUGAGAUCACAGUUGACUUGUUUUCAACAAAUGAACAUUUGUUCUGCAGUGAGUUGAUGAGAUGGAUUAUCAGUGAAAUCUAUGCAGUAUGGAAGAUACUCAAUGGAGAUAUUUUGAACAAUUAUUUUAAAGCAGCUUCUGUGGAGCAUCCUGUUCUCCCCUGGAAGCCUUGGGAACAUAUAUAUUCCCUGUGCAAGGCUGAGAAAGGUCAUAUUCCUUUGUUCAAUAGCUAUGGAAAGUAUGUGGUAAAACUUUAUUGGAUGGGUUGCUGGAGAAAGAUAACUAUUGACGACUUCCUGCCUUUUGAUGAAGAUAACAAUGUGUUGCUUCCAAGUACAACCUGUGAAUUUGAACUCUGGCCAAUGUUGUUGUGUAAAUGCUAUCAUUAAGCUGGCAAAUGUUGACAUCCAUGAGUCUCCGAGGAAAGAGCUGGGAGAGUUCACAGUCAUUCAUGCACUCACAGGAUGGUUACCAGAAGUCAUUCCUCUCCAUGAAGACUAUGUGGACAAAGUUUGGGAAUUCCUAAAAGACAUAUUGCCCGAGUUUAAGCUGUCAGAUGAGCCCAGCUUUGAAAACAAGUUACCAGCAUUAGAUACAAAGUUAAAAGAAGCAGGCAAAACUGUGAAGGAUGGCAAAGAAGGAAAAGAUGGAAAGGAAGUGAAAGAGUUGAAGGAAUUCAAACCUGAACCUUCUGUAACGACGCUGAGAGGAUUCGAGAAAAAUGACAAGGUUCUCAAGGAUUAAAAAGCUUCCAGAA